rnacentral:rRNA from 1 species
GAGUUUGAUCCUGGCUCAGGACGAACGCUGGCGGCGUGCCUAAUACAUGCAAGUCGAGCGGAUGACAGAGGAGCUUGCUCCUCCUGAUUCAGCGGCGGACGGGUGAGUAACACGUGGGCAACCUGCCCUGUAGAUUGGGAUAACUCCGGGAAACCGGGGCUAAUACCGAAUAAUCCUUCGGACCUCAUGGUCCGAUGUUGAAAGGCGGCUUCGGCUGUCACUACAGGAUGGGCCCGCGGCGCAUUAGCUAGUUGGUGAGGUAACGGCUCACCAAGGCCACGAUGCGUAGCCGACCUGAGAGGGUGAUCGGCCACACUGGGACUGAGACACGGCCCAGACUCCUACGGGAGGCAGCAGUAGGGAAUCUUCCACAAUGGACGAAAGUCUGAUGGAGCAACGCCGCGUGAGUGAAGAAGGUUCUCGGAUCGUAAAACUCUGUUGUGAGGGAAGAACAAGUACCGGAGUAACUGCCGGUACCUUGACGGUACCUCAUUAGAAAGCCACGGCUAACUACGUGCCAGCAGCCGCGGUAAUAC